rnacentral:rRNA from 1 species
GAUGAACGCUGGCGGCGUGCCUAAUACAUGCAAGUAGAACGCUGAAGGAAGGAGCUUGCUCUUUCCGGAUGAGUUGCGAACGGGUGAGUAACGCGUAGGUAACCUGCCUGGUAGCGGGGGAUAACUAUUGGAAACGAUAGCUAAUACCGCAUAACAGUAGAUGUUGCAUGAUAUCUACUUAAAAGGUGCAAUUGCACCACUACCAGAUGGACCUGCGUUGUAUUAGCUAGUUGGUGAGGUAACGGCUCACCAAGGCGACGAUACAUAGCCGACCUGAGAGGGUGAUCGGCCACACUGGGACUGUGACGCUGCCCUGACUCCUACGGGAGGCAGCAGUAGGGAAUCUUCGGCAAUGGGCGGAAGUCUGACCGAGCAACGCCGCGUGAGUGAAGAAGGUUUUCGGAUCGUAAAGCUCUGUUGUAGGAGAAGAACGAGUGUGAGAGUGGAAAGUUCACACUGUGACGGUAUCUUACCAGAAAGGGACGGCUAACUACGUG